rnacentral:rRNA from 1 species
GCUGAACGCUGGCGGCAGGCCUAAGACAUGCAAGUCGAGCGGAGUGGUGGAUGUUGCACUAUCACUUAGCAGCGGAUGGGUGCGUGAUUCUUAGGAAUCUGCGUAGUAUUGGGGGCCAGCAUGUCGCAAGGGAUGCUAACACCGCAUACGUCGUACGAGAGAAACCAGGGGAUCACUUGUGACAUUUCGCUAAUUGAAUAUGCUAAGUCGGAUUAGCUAGUUGGUGGGGUAACGGCCUACCAAGGCGACGAUCGGUAGCGGGUCUGAGAGGCUGAUCCGACACACUGGGACUGAGACACGGCCCAGACUCCUACGGGAGGCAGCAGUGAGGAAUAUUGGCCAAUGGGGGGAACCCUGAUCCAGCAAUGCCGCGUGUGUGAAGAAGGCCUUAUGGUUGUAAAGAGCUUGAAGCGAGGGGGAGGCCCUUUUCGUUGAUACCGAAGAUAAGUGGACGGUACUCUCAGAAUAAGCCCCGGCUAACUCUGUGCCAGCCGCCGCCGUAA